rnacentral:rRNA from 1 species
GAAUGAAGGUCAAGCUGAAGACUUUACCAGACAAGCUGAGAGGUGGUGCAUGGCCGUCGCCAGCUCGUGCCGUGAGAUGUCCUGUUAAGUCAGGUAACGAGCGAGAUCCUCGCCACUAGUUGCUAUCAUUAUUCUCAGGAAUAGUGGGGCGAAUUAGUGGGACUGCCGUUGUUAAAACGGAGGAAGGAGGGGGCUACGGCAGGUCAGUAUGCCCCGAAACUCUGGGGCCACACGCGGGCUGCAAUGGUAGCGACAAUGAGCUCCAAACUCGAAAGAGAGUGGCAAUCUCUAAACGCUACCACAGUUAUGACUGAGGGCUGCAACUCGCCCUCACGAAUAUGGAAUCCCUAGUAACCGCGUGUCAUUACCGCGCGGUGAAUACGUCCCUGCUCCUUGCACACACCGCCCGUCGUUUCAUCGAAGUUUGCUUUUAGCGAGGUGACGUCUAAUUGGCGUUAUCGAACUUGAGGUAAGUGACAAGGGAAAAGUCGUAACAAGGUGCCCGUAGGGGAACCUGCGGUCG